AUGGUCUCAGUUCGGACUGUAGGCUGCAACUCGCCUACACGAAGUUGGAAUUGCUAGUAAUCGUGGAUCAGCAUGCCACGGUGAAUACGUUCCCGGGUCUUGUACACACCGCCCGUCACACCAUGGGAGCUGGUAACACCCGAAGUCAGUAGUCUAACCGCAAGGAGGACGCUGCCGAAGGUGGGAUUAGCGACUGGGGUGAAGUCGUAACAAGGUACC
rnacentral:rRNA from 1 species